GGCAUGAGUAGCGAAUGACGAGUGAGAAACUCGUCCGCCGGAUGACCAAGGGUUCCUGGGCCAGGCUAAUCCGCCCAGGGUAAGUCGGGACCUAAGGCGAGGCCGACAGGCGUAGUCGAUGGAUGACGGGUUGAUAUUCCCGUACCGGCGAAGAAC
rnacentral:rRNA from 13 species